rnacentral:rRNA from 1 species
AUGGUCAAGGAGAUCAUCCUUGACCUGUUUCGUGAGUUUUCUAGGGGAACAUUAGACGUGUCCCGACUUAAAUAUGGGAUCAUCUCCCUGAUUCCCAAGGUGCUGGGAGCUGUGGAUAUUAGGCAGUUCCGCCCUAUCGCAGUGCUCAAUGUGAUAUUCUGGAUUUUGGCGAAAGGGUAUGCCACUAGGGCGGCCCUAAUCGCCCCCCGAUCCCACCCAAACCAGUGGGCCUUCACAAAAGGCAGGUAUAUUCUGGAUGGGAUCCUUGUUCUUCACGAGGUCAUCCAUGAGGUCAGGAGCAAGCAUCUCCGCGUUGUGUUCUUCAAGAUUGACUUCCAUAAAGCAUAUGACACCAUCCACUGGUCCUUCCUUCGGGAGGUGUUGCUCAAGAGUGGUGAUAACCCACAAGUAUAA